rnacentral:rRNA from 1 species
CCUACGGGUGGCAGCAGUGAGGAAUAUUGGUCAAUGGACGAGAGUCUGAACCAGCCAAGUAGCGUGAAGGAUGACUGCUCUAUGGGUUGUAAACUUCUUUUAUAUGGGAAUAAAAUGUUCCACGUGUGUGAUUUUGUAUGUACCAUAUGAAUAAGGAUCGGCUAACUCCGUGCCAGCAGCCGCGGUAAUACGGAGGCUCCGAGCGUUAUCCGGAUUUAUUGGGUUUAAAGGGAGCGUAGAUGGAUUGUUAAGUCAGUUGUGAAAGUUUGCGGCUCAACCGUAAAAUUGCAGUUGAAACUGGCAGUCUGGAGUACAGUAGAGGUGGGCGGAAUGCGUGGUGUAGCGGUGAAAUGCUUAGAUAUCACGAAGAACUCCGAUUGCGAAGGCAGCUCACUGGACUGCAACUGACACUGAGGCUCGAAAGUGUGGGUAUCAAACAGGAUUAGAUACCCGUGUAGUC